GACAGAGGGUGCAAACGUUGCUCGGAAUCACUGGGUGUAAAGCGCGUGUAGGCGGGAGGCCAAGUCUGUGGUGAAAUCGCUCGGCUUAACUGGGCGGGGUCCAUGGAAACUGGUCACCUGGAGGUCGGUAGAGGCAAGUGGAAUUCCCGGUGUAGUGGUGAAAUGCGUAGAGAUCGGGAGGAACACCAGUGGCGAAGGCGGCUUGCUGGGCCGGACCUGACGCUGAGACGCGAAGGCGUGGGGAGCGAACGGGG
rnacentral:rRNA from 1 species